AUGCACUUGCUGACUGUCGGCUCCGAGCAACAAACCUGGUUCCCAUGCUCAAGUAGGGAGAAGGCAUCAUAUGAAGGACUGAGUAAAAGGACAAGGUUCUGCAGCAUCUGCAAAUUGCUAGGUCAUAAGAAGACUACCUGCCCUGAGGGAGGUGACAUGCUAAACGGCCUCGCAAACCUGCAAGUGCAAGAAUUGUGGCAUCGCUGGACACGGUCGCACUACGUGCGCCAUGCUGCUGGGUGUUGCUGCAUCUUAAGAGUUCCGACAGUCAUGUACGAUAACUCUGAAUUUCAAAUUUGA
rnacentral:rRNA from 1 species